rnacentral:rRNA from 1 species
GAUGAACGCUAGCGGCGUGCCUAAUACAUGCCAGUCGAGCGAAAGGACGAGAAGCUUGCUUCUCUGAUGUUAGCGGCGGACGUGUGAGUCACACGUGUAUAAUCUCCCUAUCAGUGUGGGAUCACUUCGGGAAACCGGAUCUAAUCCCGGAGAAUAUUUUGAAGCGCAUGGUUGAAAAGAGAAAGACGGUGUUGCUGUCACGUCUCGCUGGAUACGCGCUGCAUUGGGUGGUUGGUAAGGUCAGAGCUUAUCAAGGCAACGAUGCGUAGCCGAGCUGAGGGGGUGAUAGGCCACACUGGAACUGUGACACGGUCCAGACUACUACGGGAGGGAGCAGUAGGGAAUCGGCCGCAAUGGGCGGAAGCCUUACGGAGCAACGCCGCGUGAGUGAUGAAGGUCUUCGGAUCGUAAAACUCGGUUAUUAGGGAAGAACAUAUGUGUAAGUAACUGUACACAUCUUGACGGUAACUAGUUAGAAAGCCACGGCUAACUACGUG